GUCAGUGAAUAUUGGCUGAAUGAAUGAGUCAGUGCUAAGAAUGUGUGCGCUGAUGAUGCCCAGAUUCUUGGGGCUUGGACAAGGAGCUUGUGUAGACAGUAUCUGUGUCUCUCUCACACACACCUCCCUCCAGAGCCUAGGCCUAUAGGAUUCUGCAGAUUGGUGAAGAGGUAAGAAGUCUUACCUGGAGGUGAGCCCUCACAGCCAUCUGGUGGUCACCUGGGGAACUGCAAGUACUAUCAGCCCUAGUUCAACUUCACUCCCAGCCCCUUCUGAGGAGAUGGUGACAUCUAGGCUAGAAUGAAGACACACUGGAUUUGGUUGCAGAUGGAAUGGCUUCAGAUCCCAGCUCUGCCAUUUACUGUGCAAUUUGGGGCAAGUCCCUGGCUUCUCUAGGCUUCACCUGUGAAAUGGUGAUUCAGGACUCUUGUCUCCGGCGUUUCUCAUGGUUAGAAACAUCAGUGCACUCUUUUCCUCCCCGGCUGGCUGAGGAUCGUCUCCAUCAUGAAUGACACCGUACCUCUCCGGAUCAGGAAGUUCCGGCCAACCAACUACUUCAGUGGAAACAUGGUUGCUGAUGUGCUUCACCCUGGAAGGGCAACAGUGUCCGAGACAGACAUUUGGGGAAAAGUAGCCAAAAUCUACAAGACCACACGAGACGUCAUCUUUAUACUUGGAGUCAGAACCCAUUUUGGUGGUGACAAGACAACUGGCUUGGGCGUGAUUUACGAUUCCUUGGGUUAUGCAAGGAAAAGUAAACCAACACAACCCUGCAAGACAUGGCCUGCCUGAGAAGAAAAAGAACUCAAGGAAGCAGCGUAAGAAAUGCGAGAACAGAAUGAGGGAGGUCGGCGGACCACAAGGACCAGUGUUGCUGCCAGCAAAAGGAAGAAGUAAAGAUUCUGCAGUGACAUUAUCUGUGGUGAUUUUGCCUAUAUUUCAUGAGAGGAUUAAUAAACUGUGAAAAAAUAGAAAA